AGCGAACGCUGGCGGCAGGCUUAACACAUGCAAGUCGAACGCCCCGCAAGGGGAGUGGCAGACGGGUGAGUAACACGUGGGAACGUACCCUUUGGUUCGGAAUAACUUGGGGAAACUCAAGCUAAUACCGGAUAAGCCCUUAUGGGGAAAGGUUUACUGCCGAAGGAUCGGCCCGCGUCUGAUUAGCUAGUUGGUGAGGUAAUGGCCCACCAAGGCGACGAUCAGUAGCUGGUCUGAGAGGAUGGCCAGCCACACUGGGACUGAGACACGGCCCAGACUCCUACGGGAGGCAGCAGUGGGGAAUAUUGGACAAUGGGCGCAAGCCUGAUCCAGCCAUGCCGCGUGAGUGAUGAAGGCCUUAGGGUUGUAAAGCUCUUUUACCCGGGACGAUAAUGACUGUACCGGGAGAAUAAGCCCCGGCUAACUUCGUGCCAGCCGCCGCCGUAA
rnacentral:rRNA from 1 species